rnacentral:lncRNA from 1 species
CAUCAGGGAGGUGAUGCCAUGAUAUUCAAGUGAACUGGAAUUUAGUGAGGGAGGGCUGUGCAGUCACCAGCCUCACUUUCUCCUCCAGAGCCAUCUGGGUCCAAUGGCAAGAUACAGAUCAGGAUGACUGAAGAUGGCCCUGGAUGCAGUGGGAGACCUUGCAAGGGAAUCAAGGUAUUGGACUUUGUCUCAGUAGGAGUUGCCUCAUGAAGCAUUUCCUAGGUCCUGGGCUUUGCAUAUGAUGGCUCACAAUGUAGUGGUACAGAUCUGCUUUCUCUAAGUAAAAUGUGCUUUAAACACGGGUUUAGGACCCAGGAAUUGACAUCUGCUGUUACAGAGUCAUUUGCCCUAGUUGCUGGUGGCCAUGUGUGCUGGUGUGGAGUUGACAAAUUUCAACAAUUGACUGUACCACAAAAUGGGCUGAUCCGGUCCAUUCCAUCUGUUCUUUCUGGUGGAGGGAUUCAUAAGCAGGAGAAUGACCAAGAGCCUAGAGGAAGAAGAAAUAAACUCCACAUCACAUAAUGAGUACCCAAGGAACCAAGAAUCGACAUCAAUGAAGUAACCACCAUGGUGAACUGUCACAGUCAAUUAGGGCUCUGAGCCAAUAGUAAUAAAGUAUUUAAGUGAAUGUAUUAGACCUAAAGA